rnacentral:lncRNA from 1 species
AAAUCGGCCGAUUUGACGUAAUUGUAAAGCAUUAUUAUUUCUUAAUAACUUAUAAAAUGUUAAAUGAAAUUUAAGUUUUGUUUAGAUGUUAGAAUAAGAUAUCGAAUCAUACGCUAUAAAUUAAGUUAUUUUUGUGUGAUUUGAAGCUUGAAGUUUAAUUUUUGUAAAUCUUAUCAUUUAUGAUUUGGUGGGAUAGCACAUUUCAUCGACGAGGUGAUUUAUUUUAUUUUUAAAAAAUAAUUUGAAGGUUGAUUAUGAUUUUCAUUUUAGACAUUUGAUCAUAACUUCUUAUCCACCAAAUACUACAAAUUUCUUGAGUAACAUUAUAUACUUAAAUAUACAAAUAUAUUAUUCGGUAUAUCUCUUUGAUUUUAUCCAACACAUAUGCAAUAUUUAAUAAUUGAGGAGUGUGACUAAAUAUCUAAAAGAUA